GAUGAACGCUGGCGGCGUGCCUAACACAUGCAAGUCGAGCGAAGCGCUUAAAUUAGAUUUCUUCGGAAUGACGAUUUUUGUGACUGAGCGGCGGACAGGUGAGUAACGCGUGGGUAACCUGCCUCAUACAGGGGGAUAACAGUUAGAAAUGACUGCUAAUACCGCAUAAGACCCCAGCUUCGCAUGAAGCGGUGGUAAAAACUCCGGUGGUAUGAGAUGGACCCGCGUCUGAUUAGCUAGUGGGUAAGGUAACGGCCUACCAAGGCGACGAUCAGUAGCCGACCUGGGAGGGUGCCCGGCCACCUUGGGACUGAGACACGGCCCAGACUCCUACGGGAGGCAGCAGUGGGGACUAUUGCCCAAUGGGGGACACCCUGAUGCAGCGACGCCGCGUGAAGGAUGAAGUCUUUCGGUAUGUAAACUUCUCUCAGCAGGGCAGAAAGUGACGGUACCUGACUAAGAAGCCCCGGCUAACUACGUG
rnacentral:rRNA from 1 species